AACGAACGCUGGCGGCAUGCCUAACACAUGCAAGUCGAACGAGACCUUCGGGUCUAGUGGCGCACGGGUGCGUAACGCGUGGGAACCUGCCCUUAGGUUCGGAAUAACUCCCCGAAAGGGGUGCUAAUACCGGAUAAUGUCUUCGGACCAAAGAUUUAUCGCCUUUGGAUGGGCCCGUGUUGGAUUAGCUAGUCGGUAGGGUAAAAGCCUACCAAGGCGACGAUCCAUAGCUGGUCUGAGAGGAUGAUCAGCCACACUGGGACUGAGACACGGCCCAGACUCCUACGGGAGGCAGCAGUGGGGAAUAUUGGACAAUGGGCGAAAGCCUGAUCCAGCAAUGCCGCGUGAGUGAUGAAGGCCUUAGGGUUGUAAAGCUCUUUUACCCGGGAUGAUAAUGACAGUACCGGGAGAAUAAGCUCCGGCUAACUCCGUG
rnacentral:rRNA from 1 species